UGCCCUAGUAACGGCGAGUGAAGCGGCAACAGCUCAAAUUUGAAAUCUGGCCUCGGCCCGAGUUGUAAUUUGCAGAGGAUGCUUUUGGCGAGGCGCCUUCCGAGUUCCCUGGAACGGGACGCCAUAGAGGGUGAGAGCCCCGUACGGUUGGACGCCGAGCCUCUGUAAAGCUCCUUCGACGAGUCGAGUAGUUUGGGAAUGCUGCUCAAAAUGGGAGGUAAAUUUCUUCUAAAGCUAAAUACCGGCCAAAGACCGAUAGCGCACAAGUAGAGUGAUCGAAAGAUGAAAAGCACUUUGAAAAGAGGGUUAAACAGCACGUGAAAUUGUUGAAAGGGAAGCGCUCGUGACCAGACUUGCGCCCUACGGAUCAGCCGGCGUUCUCGCCGGUGCCUCUGUAGGGUCCAGGCCAGCAUCGGUCUCCGCGGGGGGAUAAAGGCUUAGGGAACGUGGCUCCCCCGGGAGUGUUAUAGCCCUCUGCAGAAUACCGCCGCGGGGACCGAGGACCGCGCUUCGGCAAGGAUGCUGGCGUAAUGGUCACCAGCGACCCGUCUUGAAACACGGACCAAGGAGUCAAGCAUUAGGGCGAGUGUCUGGGUGUAAAACCCGCACGCGAAAUGAAAGUGAACGUUGGUGAGAGCUUCGGCGCAUCAUCGACCGAUCCAGAUGUUCUCGGAUGGAUUUGAGUAAGAGCCUUACCGCUUGGACCCGAAAGUUGAUGAACUAUGCCUGUAUAGGGUGAAGCCAGAGGAAACUCUGGUGGAGGCUCGCAGCGGUUCUGACGUGCAAAUCGAUCGUCAAAUAUGGGCAUGGGGGCGAAAGACUAAUCGAAUCAACUAGUAGCUGGUUGCCG
rnacentral:rRNA from 1 species